rnacentral:rRNA from 1 species
UGGGGAAUCUUGCGCAAUGGGCGCAAGCCUGACGACGCAACGCCGCGUGGAGGAUGAAGACCUUCGGGUCGUAAACUCCUUUCGAUCGAGACGAAUGGCCUUUGGGUGAACAAUCCAGAGGAAUGACGGUACCGAGAGAAGAAGCCCCGGCUAACUCUGUGCCAGCAGCCGCGGUAAUACAGAGGGUGCGAGCGUUAAUCGGAAUUACUGGGCGUAAAGCGCACGUAGGUGGCGACGUAAGUCGGGUGUGAAAGCCCCGGGCUCAACCUGGGAAUUGCAUUCGAGACUGCAUUGCUGGAGUACGGAAGAGGAGGGCGGAAUUCCCGGUGUAGCGGUGAAAUGCGUAGAUAUCGGGAGGAACAUCAGUGGCGAAGGCGGCCCUCUGGUCCAGUACUGACACUCAAGUGCGAAAUCGUGGGGAGCAAACAGGAUUAGAUACCCGAGUAGUCCCUGAGCGGGCUGGCAAGGCGC